AUGCUGAAGUGGAGCAGGCUGCUGACAAAUUUUCAAAAAAUCCAAGCACUCUAUCUGGGCCAGACACUUCAUAUAGAUGCUUUAUCUGAGGUGGACAACACUACACAGUCACUCCUUUCAUUUACUGGCAAUAAGAGCAUUCAUGGCUUACAUUAUGUCUUGUUGAACUACAAGUUCUUUCUGAAUUCAUUAUCUGCCACAUACGUCCCAGUGUUAUAUUUACCGGUGCCAUUUCAAAAUGGUUGCCUCCAUAUUCCAGAGGCAUACAUUGAGAAGGAGAACAGCAAGACGUUGAACAGAAGCAGUGCGACCAUAUGCAGCCCAAAAUGGGUAAUAUGGAUAUGGAUUAUCAGGUUUUUCAUGAUGCAUUCUUCAAAUAUCAAACAAAACCCAAGUUGA
rnacentral:rRNA from 1 species